ensembl:lncRNA
UUCGGUCAUCUUCUAGGUCUCGCACGCAUAGGUCCCAUCGGCACCACGAUUGUGGCCAGGAGCCGCAGUUUAAUCUGCAGAGUGAGUGAAGGCAAGUUCCAGAUUGGACAAAGUCAUUGGCACAUGACAGAUGCCUUGUCGAUGUGGCAGAUGAGGGAGUUAACACUGCCCAAAUAAGAGAAGUUUGCAACUUCCUCCACUUGUUUUCCAUCGAUUGUAACCGGUACUCUUGAGUUUACAUAACUGAUGUGAAUGACUUUGGUAUUUUGUCCACUAAUUCAGAGUCCAGCGCUGGCCACUUGAUUUUCUAGGGCCAUAGUGAGAUCUCAUAGGACAGUUUGUGUCGGGCUGAGAACAACGAUAACAAGGAAGAUGUUGUCAACUCUGCAAGGUAUGCUGAUGUGUAGAUGGUCGAUGGAGUGACGGGCAACGAAGUCAAUGAUGAAGAGGGAUAACAACGGCGAAAGCACGAAAGCUUGUUGUACGCCAGUUUUAAUCAUGAAAUCAGGAGAGGAGAGCUUCAAAAGGACCACCGACCUGUAAGGAGAUUCCUCUUGUCAGCCAGCCUUAAAGCGCUCUAUUUUCAGUGAGCUUGAUGCAUAGCGUCCAAAGGAAGGUCACUAUGGCACUGUGAUGCAGAGAAAUAAUACCCAUAAUUCAUCUCACAAGUACAUCAGCUGCAACUUCAUUUUCCUAGAAUACUGGAGCUGAUCUAGUUAAGAAAAUUAUCAGGCACAAAAAUGAAAACAAACGGUUAAUAUCGUACAGUGUUUAAGAUAUGAGAAGCUUUCACGGCAGCUUCACUGGGCUUUAUCGGAAAUCAUUCCUUAUCAAGAUGAGCAGUGAAGAGACAGCACUGGGGGACAGCUCACAGAGACAACAUCCUUAUCACUGAUGACCUUGACUGAAUACAAGUACCUAACUGGUUUGUCUUAGAGCUUUAAACAAUUAAACUUUUUCAUUAUAAAAUAAAAGCAAAACAACAUAUUUUAUUUUAUUCUGUGGAAGAUUUUAUUUGUCCUUACAAUGGAAGUCAACAGGGUCCAAAGUUGUU